rnacentral:rRNA from 1 species
GACGAACCGUGCGAACGUUGUUCGGAAUCACUGGGCUUAAAGGGCGCGUAGGCGGGCCAUAAAGUCAGGGGUGAAAUCCUCCAGCUUAACUGGAGAACUGCCUUUGAUACUGAUGGUCUCGAGUAAGGUAGGGGCAUGCGGAACUGAUGGUGGAGCGGUGAAAUGUGUUGAUAUCAUCAGGAACUCCGGUGGCGAAGGCGGCAUGCUGGACCUUCACUGACGCUGAGGCGCGAAAGGCUAGGGGAGCGAACAGG